AUUGAACGCUAGCGGGAUGCUUUACACAUGCAAGUCGAACGAGUGGCGGACGGGUGAGUAAUAUAUCGGAACGUGCCCAGUCGAGGGGGAUAACUACUCGAAAGAGUGGCUAAUACCGCAUACUCUUGGAGCGGCCGAUAUCGGAUUAGCUAGUUGGGGGGGUAAAGGCUCACCAAGGCAACGAUCCGUAGCCGGUUUGAGAGGAUGACCAGCCACACUGGGACGGAGACACGGCCCAGACUCCUACGGGAGGCAGCAGUGGGGAAUUUCGGACAAUGGGGGAAACCCUGAUGCAGCCAUCCCGCGUGUAUGAGAAGGCCUUCGGGUUGUAAAGUACUUUUGGCAGAGAAGCGGUAUCUGCAGAAUAAGCACCGGCUAACUACGUGCCAGCAGCCGCGGUAAUUC
rnacentral:rRNA from 1 species